rnacentral:rRNA from 1 species
UACGGAGGUGGCAAGCGUUACUCGGAUUCACUGGGUGUAGAGGGCAAGUAGGCGGUUCCGCAAGUCGGGUGUGAAAGCCCACGGCUCAACCGUGGAAUGGCGCCCGAAACUGCGGAACUUGAGGACAGGAGAGGCCAACGGAAUUCCCGGUGUAAGGGUGAAAUCUGUAGAGAUCGGGAGGAACACCAGUGGCGAAGGCGGUUGGCUGGCCUGUUUCUGACGCUGAGAGGCGAAAGCUAGGGGAGCGAACAGG